AUGCGCCGGUCAGGAGAGAGUGCCCGCCCGGCCGCAAUGGUCACAGGCAGCGGCACCGCCGAAGGCGCAGGGUUCGUCCCGAACGCUCAGGCAAAAGGACUGGCACCGCCUG
rfam:Physcomitrella patens subsp. patens PHYPAscaffold_3270 genomic scaffold, whole genome shotgun sequence.